AAGGGCAGGAGCGAGCUGUCUGCCCCACCUGCCCUGCCCUUCUGAGCUCUGGCUUCUUGUUCUACCUACCUAUCCUUCUGACCUGGGACCUCUGUGCUUGGAGACCUGGCUCCUAUUUCUACACUGGUUAAUCAGGAGUGAAAACUCUGAAGAGAUGCAAGCAGGAAGACGAAAUUAAACUAGGCCUGAGGAGCGAUGCGACAGGCAUGAUGGAAGUCGAGUCCUCCUACUCGGACUUCAUCUCCUGUGACCGGACAGGCCGUCGGAAUGCAGUCCCUGACAUCCAGGGUGACUCGGAGGCCGUGAGCGUGCGGAAGCUAGCUGGAGACAUGGGCGAGCUCGCACUUGAGGGGGCAGAAGGACAGGCAGAGGGAAGUACCCCAGACAAGGAAGCCAGCAGCCAGCCGGAGAGCAGUGACGCGAACACCUCAUCCUGAGUCUGCCUGUGGUCCUCACAGGCUGAGAGAGACCUGCUGUCCCUCCUGCACUGGAGCCCUGGCCAGCCAGGCUGACUGAGAGCCUCAUGGAGUCCUCUGUGGCCCCUGCUCCAGUAAAGUCCUCCACUCACACCACAGGCUCCUC
rnacentral:lncRNA from 1 species